AAUGAACGCUGGCGGCAUGCCUAACACAUGCAAGUCGAACGAGACCUCCGGGUCUAGUGGUGCAUGGGUGCGUAACGCCGGGGAACCUGCCCUUAGGUUGGGAACAACCCGCUGAAAGGGGUGCUAAUAUCGGAACAGUACCUAGGACCAAAGAUCUACCCCCUUUGGAUGUGCCGGCGUUGGAUUAGCUGGUUGGUAGGGUAAGAGCCUACCAAGGUGACGAUCAAUAGCUGGUCUGUGAGACUGAUCCGCCACACCGGGACUGAGAAACGGCCCGGACUCCUGCAGAAGGCAGCAAUGGGGGAUGUUGGACAGUGGGCGGAGGCCUGAUCCAGCAAUGCCGCGUGAGUGAUGAAGGCGUUAGGGUUGUUAAGCACUUUUACCCGUGAUGAUAAUGACGGUACCGGGAGAAUAAGCACCGGCUAACUCCGUG
rnacentral:rRNA from 1 species